rnacentral:rRNA from 1 species
UGGGGAAUAUUGCACAAUGGGCGCAAGCCUGAUGCAGUCAUGCCGCGUGUAUGAAGAAGGCCUUCGGGUUGUAAAGUACUUUCAGCGAGGAGGAAGGCGUUGUGGUUAAUAACCGCAGCGAUUGACGUUACUCGCAGAAGAAGCACCGGCUAACUCCGUGCCAGCAGCCGCGGUAAUACGGAGGGUGCAAGCGUUAAUCGGAAUUACUGGGCGUAAAGCGCACGCAGGCGGUCUGUCAAGUCGGAUGUGAAAUCCCCGGGCUCAACCUGGGAACUGCAUCCGAAACUGGCAGGCUAGAGUCUUGUAGAGGGGGGUAGAAUUCCAGGUGUAGCGGUGAAAUGCGUAGAGAUCUGGAGGAAUACCGGUGGCGAAGGCGGCCCCCUGGACAAAGACUGACGCUCAGGUGCGAAAGCGUGGGGAGCAAACA